CCUACGGGAGGCAGCAGUGAGGAAUAUUGGUCAAUGGCCGGAAGGCUGAACCAGCCAAGCCGCGUGAAGGACGAAGGUGCCAAGCAUCGUAAACUUCUUUUGUCAGGGGACAAAAUCAGGCACGUGUGCCUGACUGAGGGUACCUGAAGAAAAAGCAUCGGCUAACUCCGUGCCAGCAGCCGCGGUAAUACGGAGGAUGCGAGCGUUAUCCGGAUUUAUUGGGUUUAAAGGGUGCGUAGGCGGUCUGUUAAGUCAGCGGUAAAAGCCCGGGGCUCAACCCCGGCGAGCCGUUGAAACUGGGUGUCUUGAGUUGUCGAGAGGUAUGCGGAAUGCGCGGUGUAGCGGUGAAAUGCAUAGAUAUUGCGCAGAACUCCGAUUGCGAAGGCAGCAUGCCGGCUGCGAACUGACGCUGAGGCACGAAAGCGUGGGUAUCGAACAGGAUUAGAUACCCUAGUAGUC
rnacentral:rRNA from 1 species